rnacentral:lncRNA from 1 species
AGCAAAGGGCUGCAAAUAGAAGCACUGACUACUGAGCCUGAAGUAUUGGAUGGAAGCGAUUGUGAAGCGACUUCUAAAGGACCUUCAGAAGAGGAAGUUGUCGCAAACGGGCUUGGAUGUUCCUCCAUAAAAACAAUUGUUGAUGAACUAAAUGAAAAGGAUUUCUCAAUAUGAAACAAUUGUUGAUGAACUAAAUGAAAAGGAUUUCUCAAUAUGAAACUUUGCGAGCAAGGUCCAAAUUACCUCUCGAAAAUAAAAUAUGGACACUGUACAAUUUAUUAUAUUUAUGAACAACUCUUACUGCCAUUUGGUUU